rnacentral:antisense_RNA from 1 species
CCCCCAAAUUAACCUCACCCUUUUCAUUUCCUACUUGGUCAACCCUUGAUAAUGUUCUCAUA